ACCACUGUAAUCCUGCUAAUGUCUUAAUUUGUUCGUAAAUAUUCAAUAAACAAUUUCCAUUCCUUAUUAAAAGUUUUGUUGUCUUGAUUUCGUAUUCUUCCGAUAAGUUUUGCCAUUUCUGUAUAUUCCAUUAGUUUCUGUAGCCAUUCUUCUCUCAUUGGGACUUUGUCUUCUUUCCAUUUUGGGGCAAAUAUUCUUGCAGCGGUAGUUGCAGGGAAUUCGCAAAUUUCAUGAUCUAACAGGACCAAAGUGAUUCUUUUUCAUGGGUGCUUCCAGAUUGGGUCAGGGCUUCUCAUGCAUAGCAGCCCCCCCCCCAGUGUCUGCACUAUAUUGUUGGUUUCAAAAUGCCUGCCCUCCCAAUUUAUCUGAAUUUAUGCCUUUUGGGGGGAAAUCCAGUAAUACAGACAUGCUACCUGUUUCUGAUUAUAUCAACAACCUAUUUGCAAAUUAAGCUCCUCUCGGGAGGCACCCAGAACUACUGGAUCACAUGGUUUUCCUGGAGCGUCUGAUUUUGGGCAGCCCAGUUUAGUGCCACUUCAUUACCUAGAGCUUGCAGUGAAGUGCAUCACAGCCAACAAAAGGGGUCUUUAUUUCUAUUACCAACAUUUAUAUUCUUCCCCUUCAAUGUCAGCUGGCAUUUCCAGGGUGGCAAAGGGAGACGAGGAGCAACAAUAGCAGGAAGUGAUGAGUUUGACUUUUCCUACAGAGGCAUUUAAAUUACAGAGGCUGCAGUUCUAUACCUACUGACAUGGGAUUAAGCCUCAUUAAGGAAAGGGGAGUUUACUUCUGAGUAGACAUGUACAGGAUUGUGCAGUUACAGGAUCAGUCCUUUGUUUAUUUACUCAGAAAUAUGUCCUACUGGAUAUAAUGUACCUGACUUCUCAGUAAAUGUGCCUACGACUGCAGACGUGGCUCUUUACUCAGUGUUAAUGCUGAUUUCACACAAGCCUUGUAAAAAUGUAAAAAGAUUUAGCAACAGUGAAGUCUGCCUUAGGUUCUCAAUUUACAGGUGUGAUAGUCCCUCCCCCCCCUUCACUACAGCAGUUACACACUUUUGUGUUUGCAAUCUCUUAGGAAGGAGAGGAGAAAUACCAACCCCAAAUACUAAUGAGCUACUGAGUUGCUGUCUAAUGAUUUCUAAUAAAGAGAUAAUUGUCUUGAAAAAGACAAAUGUUCAAAAUACAAUGAUAAGGUUGGUGGGUGGAGAGAACAAUUCUUUGCUUCAAAGCAAUGCUUGAAUAUAUUGUGGCAUAUAAGGCUUAAAGAUGCGUAUAUUUAAUCCUCGAGCCAUGUAAUGGCAUUUUCUUGGUCAGAUAAUUCAUCAUGUUAAAAACUUUAGUCAUUGGAAGCGCUGUGUUUUAUUUCAAGCAUCAAAGCCCACUUACAUCAGAAUGAACGAAAAGUGUUGUCAUUGCCAAAUGGUUAUUGUUUUAAGCAGGUCUGUUGAUUAUCAUUGGAAAUGACUUGCUAAAUACAUUUUGAUUAAUCACUUGCAAAAAUUAUGCUUGUUAGAGCUGCUUUCUAUUCUGUUCUCAGCGUAGGUUAUAUAGCUUGCUUCCUUUACAACUGGGAUGCGUAAGCCACCCCUCCCCCGCUCUUUAAAGUUACCUGGUGAGAAAGGAAAACAAAUCCUAGUCUAAAGCUUUUGUCUAAAAACCCUGGUUCCCUUUUUAAACACACACGCACACAAUUAUUGUCUGUGCCAUACAGGAAAGAAUGGAGCCUAUAUAUCAGACCUGGACAUUUUCCGACAGGAGAUGGCUUUUGUUUUUGCACCCCGUCAACACCGAUCACCUAAUUAAAUCUGAUAUCUCUGGCUGCCACAAAAUAAUUUGUUAAUAGUUCUUUGGGAAUUUACUUAAUGAGUUUAGAUGUCUUUUGUAUGGUACAUGUGGGGGCAUUUUGGAAAAUGGAGCUGAGCGGGGGAAAUGGGGGCAAAGCAAAGAGGAGUUC
rnacentral:lncRNA from 1 species